rnacentral:tRNA from 2 species
GGCGGAGUAGCUCAGUUGGUAGAGCAGCGGAAUCAUAAUCCGCGUGUCGGGGGUUCAAGUCCCUCCUCCGCUACCA